GUGUGGGUUCUGUGCGGCGUGGUUGGCACGAACCAUGUCAGGCGGGGAACCGAGCAGCAUUCAGUGUUGCAUCGCGCGCGCCACAGUCAGCCUGUGCGCU
rnacentral:SRP_RNA from 1 species